UACGAAGGGGGCUAGCGUUGUUCGGAAUUACUGGGCGUAAAGCGUAUGCAGGCGGAUCGUUAAGUCGGGGGUGAAAUUUCGAGGCUUAACUUCGAAACUGCAUUCGAUACUGCCGUGCUUGAGGACUGGAGAGGAGACUGGAAUUUACGGUGUAGCGGUGAAAUGCGUAGAUAUCGUAAGGAAGACCAGUGGCGAAGGCGGGUCUCUGGACCGGUAUUGACGCUGAGGUGCGAAAGCGUGGGGAGCAAACAGG
rnacentral:rRNA from 1 species